rnacentral:rRNA from 1 species
ACUCAAAGGAAUUGACGGGGGCCCGCACAAGCAGCGGAGCGUGUGGUUUAAUUCGAGGCUACACGAAGAACCUUACCUAGCUUUGACAUAGGCGUGGUAGUGAAGCGAAAGCGGAACAACCUUCGGGAGCGCCUACAGGUGCUGCAUGGCUGUCGUCAGCUCGUGCCGUGAGGUGUUAGGUUAAGUCCUGUAACGAGCGCAACCCUCGGAACUAGUUACAUGGUGUCUAGUUCGACCGCCCGCGAUAAGCCGGGAGGAAGGUGGGGAUGACGUCAAGUCAGCAUGGCCUUUAUAGCUAGGGCUACACACACGCUACAAUGGCCGGUACAAUGGGUCGCCAAGUGGUAACACGGAGCCAAUCCAGAGAAAGCCGGUCUCAGUUCGGAUUGAGGGCUGCAACCCGCCCUCAUGAAGUCGGAGUUGCUAGUAACCGCCGGUCAGCCAUACGGCGGUGAAUACGUUCCCGGGCCUUGUACACACCGCCCGU